AUUUAUCGGAGAGUUUGAUCCUGGCUCAGGACGAACGCUGGCGGCGUGCCUAAUACAUGCAAGUCGAGCGGACAGAUGGGAGCUUGCUCCCUGAUGUUAGCGGCGGACGGGUGAGUAACACGUGGGUAACCUGCCUGUAAGACUGGGAUAACUCCGGGAAACCGGGGCUAAUACCGGAUGGUUGUUUGAACCGCAUGGUUCAAACAUAAAAGGUGGCUUCGACUACCACUUACAGAUGGACCCGCGGCGCAUUAGCUAGUUGGUGAGGUAAUGGCUCACCAA
rnacentral:rRNA from 1 species